UUCCUUUCCAUAGCUCAGUUGGUAGAGCAUGAGUCUCAUAAUCUCAGGUUCGUGGGUUCGAAACCCAUAUUGGACA